rnacentral:lncRNA from 1 species
AUGAAGUGAGGAAGAACAAAAAGGGCCUGGGCCAGCUGUCUGGCGCUCUGUCAAGGAGCAUUUCUAGAAGUGUCACCUGACAUUUCCACUUAUAUGUCAUUGAUCAGACUUUAAUCACAUAGACACAGCAAGGUUGGAUGAGAAAUACAGUCUUUUGUCUCAGCAGUUUCAUCCCUUGAAUAAAAUCAUGGUUGCGUUACUGGAAAAGAAGAGCAAAACAGAUAUUGGGAAGGCAGCUAGCCAUCUCUGGCAUAAAUGCCAAUUUCAGAAGUAAGUAAGAAUGAAGUACGUCUGAUGGAAAUAAACAUAAAAUCAAAGAUCAACAGGAGACAAACUAAAAUGGCUACCAAAAUGAAUGUGAACACAUCCCAGAAGAGAAUUGGAAAACAAAAUGUCCUUCUCUUCUUAGCCCCAUGUGAACUGUGAGCUCCAGAAGGAAGAGACCCUGUGCGCCUCAUCUCUCAGUUC